rnacentral:rRNA from 1 species
CGUAGGUGGCAAGCGUUGUCCGGAAUUAUUGGGCGUAAAGCGCGCGCAGGCGGUCCUUUAAGUCUGAUGUGAAAGCCCACGGCUCAACCGUGGAGGGUCAUUGGAAACUGGGGGACUUGAGUACAGAAGAGAAGAGUGGAAUUCCACGUGUAGCGGUGAAAUGCGUAGAGAUGUGGAGGAACACCAGUGGCGAAGGCGACUCUUUGGUCUGUAACUGACGCUGAGGCGCGAAAGCGUGGGGAGCAAACAGGAUUAGAUACCCUGGUAGUCCACGCUGCAAACGAUGAGUGCUAAGUGUUAGAGGGUUUCCGCCCUUUAGUGCUGCAGCUAACGCAUUAAGCACUCCGCCUGGGGAGUACGGCCGCAAGGCUG